AGUGCUUUCCUGCGGACGUGCGCUGCUGCCCAGCCUCAGGCUCCAGUCCUGCGCUGGCUGCUGCUGGCUGUCGUCAGCGAUGCCGCCGCCGGCCACAAGGUGGCAGUGCCGUGCUGCGUGGCUACACGCCCCUGGAAGCACCGGACCAGCCUUGGUCUGGCAAAAGUUUUCCAGUCUUUCCAGCAGAUGCGCCCAGGCCGUGAGCCCUCCCGGGCGGCCUGGAGGCAAGGGAUCGGGUGGGGGUGGGGUAGCCGCCGAUGUCCUGGGUGGCUUUGGGGGCGAUUUGCAAAGGCAUGCAUUUGUUGUUAAGAGCUCGGAGAAACAGUUUGGGGGAGCCUGUCACAGAUGCAAAGUCUGUUGAUAUUUCCAGGAGUGUUUGGUUUGGUUUGGGCUUUAGGGACCUACAGCAAGCAUCGAUUCUCGUGGAGGCGAACAACACUGACAGCUACUCUUUGUCUCUCGUCGGGAUUCUGAACAGAGCCCGACGUCGCUUCCAUUUCAGAGAUAUAUGCCGCUGACACUACCUUGAGAGAGCUCCUGCCUCCAUGGUUCCUGACCUGCCUAGAAGGGGAGGGCGCAGGAGACUCUUGUUCUACAGCUGUCCUCGGGAUGCCCUCAAUUCCCAGGCGCAGGGAUAAGCUUGUCUGACCCCAUUUGACCCCGCCGCAGGCGCCAGGCGUCCUCAUUUAUUGCGAGGCCUAAGAGUCCUCAAGGCUUACUGCCUGCCUACCCCCCUCCCCCACCACCCGCCGCUCUUCGUUUUUUGGUGUUUUGUUUUGUUUUGUUUUGUUUUUCCUCUCCUUGUCCUGUGCGGGAAUCAUAUGCCUCCUUCCUGUUGUCUAAGCUCCCCUCUUCCGUAGGCACAAACCUGCCCCCUCUGCGUUUUUUACCUUAAAACAGGUGUUCUGAGGAUUGUCUCUAGUUCUGGCGACGUCUUGAAAGAACUGAGUCUGAGCGAGGCAGACAGACGGCAGCAUUAGUGGUGAUGGAGCUGCACUGCUAAAUGUGGAGAUGGGAGGGGAAACACACCUGGGCUUCCACAGGGCAGGAGAAGAUCUGUCACUUGGGCAGAGCCUUUGAGUCGCACUCAGGUGAUCUCCAGGUAUCUUUUGUCUGUUUUAACCUGACAUUCAUUUGCAUCUAACAGGACUCCCGAAAGAAGCCUGGUGUAACUGAGUCUGGAAUUUUUGCUGGGCUUGCUAGGUCUACACUCUCCCACCUGUGCUCCGAGGAGAGGUGUAGACUAUCUCUUGGAUUUUGCUUGGAGGAUGUCCUUUCCGGACUCAGGACCUAGGAGAGACCAGCAGGAAACAGAACAGAGUCUACAUAGAUGUUUGUAGCUGGAGCCUACUCACCUACAGAGACCUCCUACAGAGGGGCUCUGCCCUGGCCUUUUGGGAUUCAGAGCUGAGGCGGGACACAGAGUUCGACAAAGCCAGAAGACUGAUAAUCUCAGACCUAACUGUACUGGGAGCUGGGAGCUGGGAGCUGUUGGCUUCAGGAAACUUAACCCUCUCUUGUUUAUUCUAUGGCCGAAAACUGCUGACUUCUUUUCGCUUUAACUCUGUGCUCUGGAGAAACUUAACUCUUUGUGCUUAAAUAAGCACUGGGGGUCACUUAACUCUUUGUUACUAUUCUGUGCUUUAAUAAACGCUGAGCAUUCUUCAA
rnacentral:lncRNA from 1 species